GCCGGACUGAGAGGUCGGACGGCCACAUUGGGACUGAGACGCGGCCCAAACUCCUACGGGAGGCAGCAGUGGGGGAUAUUGCACAAUGGAGGAAACUCUGAUGCAGCGACGCCGCGUGAGUGAAGAAGUAUUUCGGUAUGUAAAGCUCUAUCAGCAGGGAAGAAAGGCUCGCAAGAGAGAUGACGGUACCUGACUAAGAAGCCCCGGCUAACUACGUGCCAGCAGCCGCGGUAAUACGUA
rnacentral:rRNA from 1 species